CCGCGGUAAUACCAGCUCCACUGGCCUAUACAAUCAUUGUUGCGGUUAAGAGGCUCGUAGUUGGAUUGAACUGCAUAGAAUAAUUUUCUAUCAGUACUUAAAAACAUAAUAUUUUAUUACAUACGCUUGAAAACACACCACACACCCACAAGCGUAAAUAUUUUAUUAUGUUUCGACGCUGUUAUUUAUUUAUGUAUGUAUAUACGUAAAUAAUGACAUGUAUGUGAUUUAACACUCACUAUUGUGCGUAAGAUAGAGAAUUUAUUUUCUAUUAUUACCAUUUCAACACUGUGAACAAACCAGAGUGUAUCAAACAUGUCGUUUUUGAAUGUGCAUUGAAUGUCUUAUCAUGGGAUGUUGCACUUUCAUAUACUGGUUAAUUAAGAUUAUGCACUACUACACACACCACAUAUGUGCUAUAUAUUUUUAUUAGCCUAUACUAACAUAUCUUUUUUAACGGUUAAAAAAUGUCGAUGGGAUAGUUGGAGUCAACAGUACUGCUGGGCGAGAGGUGAAAUUCAUUGACCCUAGCAAGACUACCAAAAGCGAAAGCAGUUGGCUAGGCUAUACUCUUUGUGAUUUAUUUUUUUAUGCACACAACAGUAUAUCUAUUAUUAAAUAUAUAUUAUUUACGUUAAAACUACACACACAACCCAUAUAUAACGUAUAUAUAUAUAUUUAAGAUAUAUGCCCGUGAGUAUUUUAAAAAAAAUACACUUUACAAUGAAGAACGAAGGUUGGGGGAUCAAAGAGGAUCAGAUACCCUCGUCGUCCCAUUAAUUACAUCAAACGAUGGGCUCUCAAUUGCAUUUUUUUCAUUAAAUUGCAAAUUUCCUCAGCCUACAAAAUAACUGGGCUUGAGCUCGUGUUAUUUUUUAUGACACGCUCGCCUAAAUUUUUUCGUAUGGUCUCGAUGUGACGUUUCAUUUAUAUAUUUAUUUGCGUGUAAGCAUUAUGUUAUUCUUUGAAAUACAAGAAUGCAUUGCGUGCACUUGAUUUUCGGAGCUUUGCGCUCAAUUCUGGUGAGAUGUAAGCACUAUGUUAUUCUACCCGCAGUGUAUGUUAACAUAUUUUUGUCUUUAAUUAAUUUUUUUACCGCUACUCUGUAUGUAAUAAUUAUUAUUGUACAUUAAUCUAACAUUUCAUCUGUUGUGUGUGGGAUUAACAAUUUCGGUGUGAAGCACGCAUUAGGCACGCGCUUACUGCAGAAAUGUCUGAGACACUCUCCUCCGGGGGUAGUAUGCACGCAAGUGUGAAACUUGAAGGAAUUGACGGAAGGRCACCACAAGAACGCGUGGAGCAUGUGGCUUAAUUUGACUCAACGCGGGAAAUCUUACCGGRUCCGGACACACUGAGGAUUGACAGGCAAUAUUAAUAAUUUAUUUUUUCUGUGUGUUUACUCACAUCAGUAAUAUAUUUUAUUAUGUUAAAUAUGCUAGUCCUUUCAUGAUUAUGUGAUAGGUGGUGCAUGGCCGUUCUUAGUUCGUGGAGUGAUCUGUCUGCUUAAUUGCGUUUCACUAAGGGCCUAGAAAUUUACGUAUGUUGCGACACUUUGACCCCUCCUUGUGUGCGUGCGUCUUUGUUUGUUUAGCUCAUACAAAUAGGUCCUGAAAGCAACGAACGUGACCGAA
rnacentral:rRNA from 1 species